GUAGGUGAACCUGCGGAAGGAUCAUUAUCGAGUUUUGAAGUGGGCUGCUUGAGCUGGCACGCAGGUGCUCGGCGGCUCCGCUCUCAUCCACUCAAACCCCUGUGCACCUUGAACGAGUGUGGGUCGAGGCCGAAAGGCGGGUAGGCCCGCCUCGUUUCUUACAAACUCUUGUAUUGUCUUGUAGAAUGCAUUGCCUCUCUGUGGGCGAAAUAGUUAAUACAACUUUCAACAACGGAUCUCUUGGCUCUCG
rnacentral:misc_RNA from 1 species